GACUUCAUGGCGAAGCGGUAUCGCGUCCGCACGUUGUGGCAGCGCGCAGGCAUCUUUUCGGCGGAGGUUCCUGGUUCGACUCCAGGUUAGGUCA